CGACUGGUAGCUCAGUUGGAAGAGUGCCACUGUACUACACUGAAGGUCACAGGUUCAAUCCCUGUCUAGUCCA
rnacentral:tRNA from 1 species